AGGAUCUUCCGCAAUGGGCGAAAGCCUGACGGAGCGACGCCGCGUGUGCGAUGAAGGCCUUCGGGUUGUAAAGCACUGUCGAGGGGGAGAAAAGCGCAAGCUUGAUCGACCCCUGGCGGAAGGACGGGCUAAGUUCGUGCCAGCAGCCGCGGUAAGACGAACCGUCCUAACGUUGUUCGGAAUCACUGGGCUUAAAGGGCGCGUAGGCGGUAGGCAUAGUCAGGGGUGAAAUCUUUCGGCUCAACCGGAAAAGUGCCUCUGAUACUAGUCGACUCGAGUGAGAUAGGGGCACGUGGAACUUCCGGUGGAGCGGUGAAAUGCGUUGAUAUCGGAAGGAACGCCGGUGGCGAAAGCGACGUGCUGGAUCUCUUCUGACGCUGAGGCGCGAAAGCUAGGGGAGCAAAC
rnacentral:rRNA from 1 species